rnacentral:rRNA from 1 species
AGUUUGAUCCUGGCUCAGGAUGAACGCUGGCGGCGUGCCUAAUACAUGCAAGUCGAGCGAACAGAUAAGGAGCUUGCUCCUUUGACGUUAGCGGCGGACGGGUGAGUAACACGUGGGUAACCUACCUAUAAGACUGGAAUAACUCCGGGAAACCGGGGCUAAUGCCGGAUAAUAUUUAGAACCGCAUGGUUCUAAAGUGAAAGAUGGUUUUGCUAUCACUUAUAGAUGGACCCGCGCCGUAUUAGCUAGUUGGUGGGGUAAUGGCUUACCAAGGCAACGAUACGUAGCCGACCUGAGAGGGUGAUCGGCCACACUGGAACUGAGACACGGUCCAGACUCCUACGGGAGGCAGCAGUAGGGAAUCUUCCGCAAUGGGCGAAAGCCUGACGGAGCAACGCCGCGUGAGUGAUGAAGGUCUUCGGAUCGUAAAACUCUGUUAUUAGGGAAGAACAAAUGUGUAAGUAACUGUGCACGUCUUGACGGUACCUAAUCAGAAAGCCACGGCUAACCACGUG